AUACGGAGGGAGCAAGCGUUAUUCGGAAUCACUGGGCGUAAAGGACGCGUAGGCGGGUUUGUAAGUCAGGUGUGAAAUCCUACAGCUCAACUGUAGAACUGCACUUGAAACUACAGACCUAGAGUAUGGAAGGGGCAGAUGGAAUUAGUGGUGUAGGGGUAAAAUCCGUAGAUAUCACUAGGAAUACCGAAAGCGAAGGCGAUCUGCUGGGACAUUACUGACGCUGAGGCGUGAAAGCGUGGGGAGCAAACAGGAGUAGAUACCCGGGUAGUCC
rnacentral:rRNA from 1 species